rnacentral:lncRNA from 1 species
GCGGUCACGGGGCCCCACAGCCAGAAGCGGGAGGGUGGGCUUUCCGUAGAGGGAUGAGCAGCCCUCCACAGCAGGUAAAGCAGGAGAACAGCAACACUUGUCAACCCUGAUGUCCUGCAGAAGCUGGCCUUGGGCUCUAGCCUGACUCACCUGGGUGACAGCUCCAGAUUGUAGGUUGGAUUCAAGUCAGCUUCACAUAUGUUUCACUCUCCUUGAACCAGUGGCCAACGAGGAUGUGUUCUUCUCGUAGUAGAUCGCUGGACUGCAAGAGACAAGACAAAC